AACCCAUGAUGAGGACAUGACAUCUCCAAGUCCUUGAAUCGCUCCCAACACUCAUUAAAACUUUCUUGUGUGAGUUGUCGGAAUGCAACAAGCUCAUCUCUAACAUU